rnacentral:rRNA from 1 species
CUUGCUCUGUGGGAUCAGUGGCGAACGGGUGAGUAACACGUGAGCAAUCUGCCCCUGACUCUGGGAUAAGCGCUGGAAACGGCGUCUAAUACCGGAUACGAGCUGCGACCGCAUGGUCAGUAGCUGGAAAGAAUUUCGGUCAGGGAUGAGCUCGCGGCCUAUCAGCUUGUUGGUGAGGUAAUGGCUCACCAAGGCGUCGACGGGUAGCCGGCCUGAGAGGGUGACCGGCCACACUGGGACUGAGACACGGCCCAGACUCCUACGGGAGGCAGCAGUGGGGAAUAUUGCACAAUGGGCGCAAGCCUGAUGCAGCAACGCCGCGUGAGGGAUGACGGCCUUCGGGUUGUAAACCUCUUUUAGCAGGGAAGAAGCGAAAGUGACGGUACCUGCAGAAAAAGCGCCGGCUAACUACGUGCCAGCAGCCGCGGUAAUACGUAGGGCGCAAGCGUUAUCCGGAAUUAUUGGGCGUAAAGAGCUCGUAGGCGGUCUGUCGCGUCUGCUGUGAAAACCCGAGGCUCAACCUCGGGCCUGCAGUGGGUACGGGCAGACUA